rnacentral:rRNA from 1 species
AACGAACGCUGGCGGCGUGCCUAACACAUGCAAGUCGAGGGAGAAAGCCGCAAGGCGAGUAAACCGGCGAACGGGUGCGUAACACGUGGACAACCUUCCUUCCUGACCGGGAUAACUGGCCGAAAGGCUUGCUAAUACCGGAUAUGCCCACGGGACCUUCGGGACCUGAGGGGAAAGGCGGCCUCUGCAAGCAAGCUGUCACAGGGAGAUGGGUCCGCGGCCCAUCAGCUCGUUGGCGGGGUAACGGCCCACCAAGGCAACGACGGGUAGCUGGUCU